GUUCGUCACAGCCUUCAAGGGAGAUCGUCAUCUUCUGCAAGGUUUUAUUUAUUUAUUUAUUUUUACAGCUUUUUAGAAAACCUUUUUUAAUCCGAUGGUGCUAAAUGAAGAGCUAAUAUAUAUAUAAUGUUUUUUCCUUGUUUUUCAUGCUCCAAAAGAAAAGUCAAAUAAAAUACUAAAAUGUUUUUUCUCUUCCAUAAAUGCUAUUUCUACAUCUCUUAAAAAAGCCAAAAUCAAUACUAAAAUGUUUAACUCCUGAAUUAAAGGUACUCCUUAAUCAAGCAUUCCUUUUCUGUGUGUGUUAUAUAUGUGUCGAUUUUUUUUUAGUGCAAAAGUUGAGGCUUUUGUUGCUUGUUAGCAAAAUUGAGACCACUCCAGAUGGAAAUUAUGGUCAUCAAGGGUUUAGGGUGCAAAAAUCUGUGCCGGGGAAUGAUCGGUCUUUAUCAAGAAAGUUGAGACAGUCAUGUGUGAUUCUUGAUUGCGAUUUCAGAAAUAUAUCCUAUGGGAAAAGUGCCAGCGAUUGUAGUUGAUGGAAAAUUCAAGCUUUUUGAGAGGUAUCCGGUUGAUCACUACAAGAGAGCUUAAAUUCACUCAAAUAUUGGAUUGACAAAGCUAUACCUUCAUCCCUGUCGAAGAUAGAGGCUCUGUGGCUUAAAGAGAGUGGCCAGUUCUUGCUAGGCAGUAGUCAACCAUCCAUAGCUGAUCUAAGCCUCCUCUGUGAGAUAAUGCAACUAGAGUUUGUAGAUGAAACGGAGAGCAAUCACAUACUUGGUCCAUUCAAGAAGGUUCAGCAGUGGAUUGAGGAUACAAAAAACGCAACAAGGCCCCACUUUGAUGAAGUGCAUCAAACCCUCUUUGGAGCCAAAGCUAAACUACAGAUGCAACAGUAAUCGAGUAAAACCAUUGAGGUGGAGCAAGAUAUGUAAGGAGUCUUUGUUUUAAAUCAUUUAAAAGCAAUAAGCAUUUCUUGGUUCAUCCAGUGGAAGUUCGAGCCAAGAAUUUAAUACAGCACGACUGGAUCAAAUAAUGAGGUGGACACAGCAUGUUAAUAAUUUAUGUACUUUUGAUAUCCUGCGAUGUUCUGUAAUAACAAUUUCUGAUGUAUUAUAGAUAGCAGAGACUGCCACAAACCGAAACCAUUGUGUUAAACUUUACUGGGUAAAAAAUUGUGACAAUGUGUGUUUAAACUCUUGAAUGAUGGAGUCAUCAGUCCAGCAGUAAUUGUUUCGGAGGUGUGCUGCAGUGCCGAGCUUGGCAUAUGCUGAUACCCUUAACACAUUUGGAUUUGACUGUAAUAUCAUCUUUCAAAUCCAAAGGUAUAAAAUGGUGCUGGAGCUACGUUCUUUCCUUA